UCUUCUGUGGUGUAAUGGUAGCAUGCGUUCCCGGUAUGGGAGAAACGCGGGUUCAACUCCCGCCAGAGGCCGAA